rnacentral:rRNA from 1 species
UAAUACAUGCAAGUCGAACGAACUUCCGUUAAUUGAUUAUGACGUACUUGUACUGAUUGAGAUUUUAACACGAAGUGAGUGGCGAACGGGUGAGUAACACGUGGGUAACCUGCCCAGAAGUAGGGGAUAACACCUGGAAACAGAUGCUAAUACCGUAUAACAGAGAAAACCGCAUGGUUUUCUUUUAAAAGAUGGCUCUGCUAUCACUUCUGGAUGGACCCGCGGCGUAUUAGCUAGUUGGUGAGGUAAAGGCUCACCAAGGCAGUGAUACGUAGCCGACCUGAGAGGGUAAUCGGCCACAUUGGGACUGAGACACGGCCCAGACUCCUACGGGAGGCAGCAGUAGGGAAUCUUCCACAAUGGACGCAAGUCUGAUGGAGCAACGCCGCGUGAGUGAAGAAGGGUUUCGGCUCGUAAAGCUCUGUUGUUAAAGAAGAACGUGGGUAAGAGUAACUGUUUACCCAGUGACGGUAUUUAACCAGAAAGCCACGGCUAACUACGUGCCAGCAGCCGCGGUAAUACGUAGGUGGCAAGCGUUAUCCGGAUUUAUUGGGCGUAAAGCGAGCGCAGGCGGUCUUUUAAGUCUAAUGUGAAAGCCUUCGGCUCAACCGAAGAAGUGCAUUGGAAACUGGGAGACUUGAGUGCAGAAGAGGACAGUGGAACUCCAUGUGUAGCGGUGAAAUGCGUAGAUAUAUGGAAGAACACCAGUGGCGAAGGCGGCUGUCUGGUCUGCAACUGACGCUGAGGCUCGAAAGC